AGAGCGUUUUAACCCAUUUCCGGUGGAGCUAUGUGAUGAUCCUUUGCCGUGUAAGCGUGAGGCCCUUGGACUAACGGAUGACUCUCUCAGGGAAGCUUCCGCUGACCAGCUCAUUAGGCCAAUCAUCACGUUAGAAGCCUGACUCCUUGCCACCACCGUGAUGUGAAGAAGCCCACACGAUCUACAUAUGGAGGGAGAGGCCAAGUGGAGAAGCACCACAGGGAUCAAACACGCAUCUUUAAUUCUAAGUGCAUUCACGCAACAGUAAAAUGAUAUGGAUUGUGAAAACUUGUCAACUUCUUCGAAUUUCAUUGACUCGGGCAAGAAUAUUAAGAGGGCGUGUUGUUUCCAAGUAUCUUAGGAAAACCACAUCAUCCAAGAAAUUCUAUUUUCUAGGACAAAUGGUCUGGUGUGGCCAUUCAACAGUAGAUUGAUAGCUUAAUGGAAUACUUCCUUUAAGACAAGUUACCUAGGGUCAGAACCAGCUGCUGAAUUCUGCCCAGGUCUCCGUGCAAAGUCUUUUCUUGUGUUUAUUUUUCCCAAUGUGGUUUUAUUAU